rnacentral:rRNA from 1 species
CGGCCGCGUCGACGGCUCACCAAGGCGACGAUCCGUAACUGGUCUGAGAGGAUGAUCAGUCACACUGGAACUGAGACACGGUCCAGACUCCUACGGGAGGCAGCAGUGGGGAAUAUUGGACAAUGGGCGAAAGCCUGAUCCAGCCAUGCCGCGUGUGUGAAGAAGGUCUUCGGAUUGUAAAGCACUUUAAGUUGGGAGGAAGGGCAGUAAGUUAAUACCUUGCUGUUUUGACGUUACCAACAGAAUAAGCACCGGCUAACUCUGUGCCAGCAGCCGCGGUAAUACAGAGGGUGCAAGCGUUAAUCGGAAUUACUGGGCGUAAAGCGCGCGUAGGUGGUUCGUUAAGUUGGAUGUGAA